GACGAACGCUGGCGGCGUGCUUAACACAUGCAAGUCGAACGGAAAGGCCUCUUUCGGGGGGUACUCGAGUGGCGAACGGGUGAGUAACACGUGAGUAACCUGCCCUUGACUUUGGGAUAACUUCAGGAAACUGGGGCUAAUACCGGAUAGGAGCUCCUGCUGCAGGGUGGGGGUUGGAAAGUUUCGGCGGUUGGGGAUGGACUCGCGGCUUAUCAGCUUGUUGGUGGGGUAGUGGCUUACCAAGGCUUUGACGGGUAGCCGGCCUGAGAGGGUGACCGGCCACAUUGGGACUGAGAUACGGCCCAGACGCCUACGGGAGGAAGCAGUGGGGAAUAUUGCACAAUGGGUGGAAGCCUGAUGCAGCAACGCCGUGUGCGGGAUGACGGCCUUCGGGUUGUAAACCGCUUUCGCUCAUGACGAAGCUUUGUGUGACGGUAGUGGGUAAAGAAGCACCGGCUAACUACGUG
rnacentral:rRNA from 1 species